rnacentral:rRNA from 1 species
UUUUAUGGAGAGUUUGAUCCUGGCUCAGGAUGAACGCUGGCGGCGUGCCUAAUACAUGCAAGUCGAGCGAACGGACGAGAAGCUUGCUUCUCUGAUGUUAGCGGCGGACGGGUGAGUAACACGUGGAUAACCUACCUAUAAGACUGGGAUAACUUCGGGAAACCGGAGCUAAUACCGGAUAAUAUUUUGAACCGCAUGGUUCAAAAGUGAAAGACGGUCUUGCUGUCACUUAUAGAUGGAUCCGCGCUGCAUUAGCUAGUUGGUAAGGUAACGGCUUACCAAGGCAACGAUGCAUAGCCGACCUGAGAGGGUGAUCGGCCACACUGGAACUGAGACACGGUCCAGACUCCUACGGGAGGCAGCAGUAGGGAAUCUUCCGCAAUGGGCGAAAGCCUGACGGAGCAACGCCGCGUGAGUGAUGAAGGUCUUCGGAUCGUAAAACUCUGUUAUUA